rnacentral:lncRNA from 1 species
CUUUUCCGGCCUCUGCAGCUGCGCGGGCGGGCGUGGUUGCCGGGGACGCGCGGCCCCCGGUCGGGCACUGCAGGCGGCGAAACGACUUGGGAAGGCCCUUUCGGGGUAAUAGUCCGGUUCCUGAUGUUCUUGUCAUAUGAGUUACGGGCAGCAGAGCUGGGUGAAGUCGGGGCGGGAGGUCCGCGUGGGGCGCGGCGUCCAUCCCAGACAGAGACCGCUGCCUAGCCGGCUUCCCGCUUCGUCCGUGGCCUCGGGCCCCAGACCCUGCGCCCCACGUCCCCGGGACCCAGGCGUUCCCGUCCCCUACUCGGGGACGAGCCUCCCCGGCGCCGGGUGGGCGGUGCAUCCUUUCCUCCCACCCGUAACGGGAGCGGUGCCUGGCGCGCUCUGGCGCAGACCCUGCUGGGAAUGUAGCUCGCGCAGUUUUCUUCGUACUAUUAAUUUAUUUCUUUUUUUUGUUUUUGGUUUUUUUUUUUUAAAUGACUGUAGCAGGCAGUAACGUGCGAAAGAAAGACGCUCCAGCGUCUUCCUAGGCCAGUUUCUUGUUGCUGUGCUGCACGGGACCCAGCUCCUUUUGCUGGGCCACGUGUUGCUCCUCCGCUUGGGCGGCCCUGAAUUCUGGGCGCUGGUGAUCGCUGAGUGAAUCGCAGCUGCUUCCCUGUCCUUGAGGGCGUCUUUUGGGCACUCAGGCGACUCUUUAGAAAUGAGUUUUGCUUUAAUAAUUAAUAUUAACGUUAUAAAUCCAAAACCUAGUUAUACUUAAGUAGCGUAUCCCCUGGUAUGUUUUAAAGAGUCAUUCGAAGGGGAUUUUUAAAAAUAAUGUAUAGCUAUAAACUGCAUUUAUACAUUUAAUUGUUAUUUUGUUAAGCGAUUGAGUUACUUGACAAAAUCCAAGUACAUAGUUCACUCACAAAUCUAAUAUGUCAAACCUAAAUGUGGUUGGUAAAUCUUACUCUCAUAAUUUCAAUAUGGUUUACAGAUGUGGUUGAAUUCUGUUACACAUGUCUACUUACGAGUCAGAAUCGUUAUUCCAUUUAAUAUUUUAAAAUGGAAUUGCCAAGUUAAUCCAUACAUUAGCAUGUUAAAUUAUUUUAACCGUCGUGAAUACAUCAAAAUAGACGAUUCCAAAAUGUAAUGGAAAAUACUAAUGCUAAUACUUCAAUUUACUUCAUUAUUUCUGCCCUUAAUCCUGAAUCUUCCUGGAGUUACAGGUGCUUAUCCACUAAACCAGGGGUUUUCAAGCAAGAAGUCAGAAUGCAUUAAUGGACAGCAUUUAAAAAAAUAGGAUUGGGUGGGCUAUAAUCCAGCACUUUAGGAGGCCGAGGCAGGCGGAUCACUUAAGAUCAGGAGUUCGAGACCAGCCUGGCCAACAUGGUGAAACCCCGUCUCUACCAAAAAAUAAAAAAAUUAGCUGGACGUGGUGGAGCAUGUCUGUAAUCCCAGCUACUCGGGAGGCUGAGGAAGGAGAAUCGCUUGAACCCGGGAGGCAGAGGCUGCACUCUAGCCUGGGCAACAGAGCAAGGCUCUGUCAAAAAAAAAAAAAAAAAAAAAAAAAAGAAAAAGGAUUAAAGCGAAUAGAAAUAAGAGUGUGUUGCUUAGAGUAAGGUGCUGUUCAUUGUAAAACUUUUGUCUCAGCUCUACAUACAUAUAUAGAAAUAUGUACACAAAUAUUUUUCAUAUAUACAUAUAUAUGUAACUAUAUGAACACACUUUUGUGUGUUAAAUCAGAAUAUAAAAAACCUGAGGGUCAAUCAAUGAGCCAAAAGGUAACCAGUCGUACUCUGGAAAAAUUUGGGUCCUCUGGUUACAAAGGAGCUGUCAUGAAGUAGUUUGCUGACUUACAGAGAUGGCUGAAGAAAAGUGCUUCUGCUGGUGAGAUAACCAAUGCUUGUGAUCAGAUAUGGAUGUGGUAUGAACAUUAAAAGGUUUCCUUCGGUUUUCUCAUCUCCAUCCCUUCAAUAAAAUAUCUCACCCUGAUACUUGUAGUCUGACUCUAGUGGGAUAACACAGGACUCCUGUUAUCCUUGACACUGUUAUCCAGUUAUCCAGGGGGCAUCUCUGCAACCUGUGGUGGAGUAGACCAUCUUUGCCUUCCGCUUGGACUGUUUGCUGGGUGCACUGCUCCUGUCUAGGCUCAGGUCUUCACCACCAAAGUAGACUUUUUACAAAACCUUUGGUUUCCCCUUCAAGGCACUUUCUACUGCCAGAAUGAUCUUUCUAAGGCAGAAUAUCCAACCAGGUGCAAUUUGUGGGUGCUUACAGGGUCAUGAAAUACCACCUAUGGUAGUUAGUUUCCACAAAUGGCCAAGAUAGACGUGUGGGUGAAGCCAUCCUGUGUGUCCCAGCCCCUGUCACCAUCUCAGUGCAGCCAUGUAAGGCCCCAAACAAGACCAGCAGAACCACCAUCUGCAUCUUGUCUACCCUGAUUGUGACAAAUAGUACAUUGCGGUUUUCAGCCACUAAAUGUAAGGGUGAGUUGUUAAGCAGCAGUAAAUUUGAAUCGGUCAGCUCACGUGGGUUCAAGCCCCAGCUCUGCCAGUACUUACAAUGUGAUCUUAAUCACUGAAUCUUCCUGAGCUUUCAUUUCCUUUGCAGAAUGAAGGUUGGGGUUUCAUUCAUCCCUUUAACAAACAUUUAUUGAAGAUCUCCUGUGGGCCAGGUGUGACAAUGGUGUACCUGGCAUGUAGUGGGAGCUCAAAAAAUAUUAGUGGUCUUUCAUCUUGCUCUUUUGUCCUUUAAUUAAUAAAUAGCACAACAAAAUGUUUUAUCACCUAUUUUCAGUUGAGUCUCAGUUCUCUGCAGUUAUCACCUUGCAUAGAAGCUACUGAAACCUCAUUUUUUUCUUUUUUGGGACAGGGUCUCCUGUAGCCCAGGUUGGAAUGCAGUGGCACAAUCUUUGCUCAUUGCAACCUUGAUUUCCUGGGCUCAAGUGAUCAUCCUGCCUCAGCCUCCCAAGUAGCUGGGACUACUGGUGUACACCCCCAUGCCUGACUAAUUUUUUUGUAGAGAUAGGGUUUUGCCAUGUUGCCCAGGCUGAUCUCAAACUCCUGGGCUUGAGCUAUCCUGCUCUCCUCUGCCUCCCCAAAUGCUGGGAUUACAGGUGUGUGCCACCACACCCAGCUAAUUUUUGUAUUAUUGGUAGAGACGGGGUUUUACCAUGUUGGCCAGGCUGGUCUCGAACUCCUGACCUCAGGUGAUCCACCUGCCUCGGUCUCUCAAAGUAUCGGGAUUACAGGUGUGAGCCACUGUGCCUGGCCAGGAUCUUAUUUUUUAUGGCUGAAUAGUACUCCAUUGUGUAUACAUACCACGUUUUCUUUUCUUUUUUUUUUUGAGAUGGAGUCUCGCUCUGUUGCCCAGGCUGGAGUGCAGUGGCGUGAUCUCGGCUCACUGCAAGCUCCACUUCCUGGUUCAGCCUUCUGAGUAGCUGGGAUUACAGGCGUCUGGCACCACACCUGGCUAAUUUUUGUAUUUUUAUUUUAUUUUAUUUUAUUUUAUUAUUAUUAUUAUUAUUAUUAUUAUUAUUAUUAUUAUUAUUUGAGACGGAGUCUCGCCCUGUCGCCCAGGCUGGAGUGCAGUGGCGCAAUCUUGGCUCACUGCAAGCUCCGCCUCCCAGGUUCACGCCAUUCUCCUGCCUCAGCCUCCCGAGUAGCUGAGACUACAGGCGACCGCCACCGCAUCCGGCUAAUUUUUUGUAUUUUUAGUAGAGAUGGGGUUUCUCCGUGUUAGCCAGGAUGGUCUCAAUCUCCUGACCUUGUGAUCCGCCCGCCUUGGCCUCCCUAAGUGUUGGGAUUACAGGCGUGAGCCACCACGUCUGGCUAAUUUUUGCAUUUUUAGUAGAGAGAGGUUUCACCAUGUUGGCCAGGCUGGUCUCAAACUCCUGACCUUGUGAUCUGCCUGCCUCAGCCUCCCAAAGUGUGAGCCAGCGCUCCCUGCUGAUUUUUGUAUUUUUAGUAGAGACGGGGUUUACCAUGUUGGCCAACCUGGUCUCAAACUCCUGACCUCAGGUGAUCUGCCUGCCGCGGCCUCCUAAAGUGAUGGGAUUACAGGCAUGAGCCACCAUGCCUGGCCUGUAUAUCUUAUUUUGAGAAAUGUCUAUUCAGAUCUUUUGCCUAUUUUUAAAUUGGAUUAUUAUGUUUUUUCCUUAAAGAGUUGUUUGAGCUCCUUAUAUGUUCUAGAUUUUGGAUUUUCGAAUUAGGGAUGCUCAACCUGGUAAGUAUUAUGCAAAUAUUCUAAAAUCUGAAAAAGAAUUUGAAAUCCAAAACACUUCUGGUUGCAAGCAUUUUGGAUAAGGGAUACUCAACUUGUACUAACCUGUGACCCCUGACUUCAGAGACUUUGCAAUCCUGGGAGACUGAAUAUAAUCAGGUGCUAAGAUGCAGUUGUAUGCAAGCUGACAGGAAGACAAUUUGGCCCAGUGUUCCUGAGGUAGACUUCAUGGCAAGAAGGGAUUUAGCUAUUCAUAGAAGAGUGUGUAGGUCAUUUAGAGAUGGAGGAUGGAAAGAGAGUGGAAGCAAAAGCCAGAAACAAGAGAAGAACCUGCUAGAGGUGUAAAAUGCAAACUGGUCAGUAGUUGGACAAAAGACUGAAGGAUCUAGAAUGUAAGAAACCUUGAAUGAAAGUCAGGAUGAGUGGUUUUGGUCUGAUGAGACUCUUGCUUUUCCAUUAAGCAGUGUUUGGAGAUUAAUUUGGAGGUGAUAUGGAGGACAAAUUGCUCACAGGGCUCCCACUGAGCAAAUGUCCUGCAGGGACAGCAGGUCUGAGUGGGAGCCAUGAGUUUCCCAGAUGUGCUCCAGGUUCCACAUUAAAGCCAGGUGGCAGGUGGGGCCUAUUUCUUUUUCUCUGUCCAUAAGACUGUUCACCCAUUGGGAAGAACCAUAUACUAUAUCAUCUGACCUUUUUCAUUUAGCCCAGCCUAUGGCUAACUGUGUCAUUUUGGUGUCCAUUAGCCCAAGGUUUUUACUCUGGCAACACUAAUGGGGACCUAUGGAAGUGGAAUGUGCUAUUUCAGUUUCAGUGCCAGGCCAUGCACAGUGGCUCACGCCUGUAAUCCCAGCACUUUGGGAGGCCGAGGUGGGUGGAUCACUUGAGGUCAGGAGUUCGAGACCAGCCUAGCCAACAUGGUGAAACCCCAUCUCUACUAAAAAUACAAAAAUGAGCUGGGCGCGGUGGUGGGCACCUAUAAUCCCAGGUACUUGGGAGGCUGAGGCAGGAGAAUCGCUUGAACCCGGAAGUCGGAGGCUGCAGUGAGCCAAGAUCGCUCCACUGCACUCCAGCCUAGGCGACAGCGAGAUUCCAUCUCAAAAAUAAAUAAAUAAAUAAAUAAAUAAAUAAAUAAAUAAAUAAAAUAAAUUCAGUGCCUUGGGAGAGCUUCGGGAAAGGAAAUUUCAUGAAACUACCACAAGAGGGCGGCACUUUAUACUCCUUUUGUGAGUGAGAAAAUUCUCAUAAAAUUUAAAAGGCUUGCUAGCAAUUCCUGGGCUCUUUUCUCAAAAGUGGAAAGAAACCCUACAAUAUUCUUUGGCAGUGAGUUACAUGUAUAUGCAGCAUUUCUUUAUAAAGACACAGGAGAAUGAAAAGUACCUUGGGAAGGUGGUUUAGCCCAGCAUUCCUUGUGUUUUUUUGGCAGUGAUGACCUGGCAGCUUCUGAAGCCUGGCCAUUGAUUAGGAUUAUAGAGCACAAGAUACUGUUGUGUUUAUCCCCUGAGCCCAAGGAUGUUAGAUCUUAUCCAUGCCUGUGAUGAUAUCUGUUAUUUAUUGAGUACUUAGCAUAAUGCUUGGCACAUUACAGUCUUACUUCCAUCAACUUGUUGAAUCUUCACAGACAAAUUUGGAGGUUGGUUUUAUAUAGCCCAUUUUCCAGACGCGGUUCAGUGAUAGAGUUAUCUGUAUGCUCUAUAUACCACAUCUACCCCAACUAUGACCUUGGGCCUUUCUUCAUGUUUUUCAAGCUAAUACUAUAUUGAAAGAUAAAGUAUCUGGCACAACACUGCAGACAGUUGUCUUUAAUAGCAAUCCUCACACUCUAUAAACAAACCUGCUUAGAAUAUUUGAUGGUACUCACACACCUGGUGAUUUUGCCAUUGAAAAUUAUACUUCAGUUUUUAUUCCCUAGGAAUCAAAAGGGAUAAAGUUCCUAUCUUAUUUUUGUUUUUGAGACAGGGUCCCUCACUUUGUCACCCAGGCUGUAGUGCAGUGGUGUGGUCUCGGCUCACUGCAACCUCUGACUCCUGGGCUCAAGCGAUCCUUUCCAUCUCAGCCUUCCGAGUAGUUGGAACUACAGGCAUGCACUGGCUAAUUUUUGUAUUUUUUGUAGAAAUGGGGUAUCACCAUUUUGCCCAGGCUGGUCUCGAACUCCUGGGCUCAAGCAAUCCACUUGCCUCAGCCUCCAAAAUGCUAGGAUUACAGGCAUGAGCCACCAUGCCUGGCCUCUAUCCUUAGUUUUAAAGUCAUCUCUUGGGAACAGCUUAUAGGAUUUUAAAAUCUCCAUCAGAUAGUCUUUGCCUUCUAUCUAGAAGUUUAGUCCGUUUGCAUUUAUUUUGAUUCCUGAUAUAUUUUGGUUUAUUUCUUUCGUCUUAUGUGCUUUAUAUUUUAUUUGUUGUGCUAUUUUUGUUUAUUUGCCUUUUUUCUUCCUGUUUUGGAGGCACUAUCAACCUAAUGCCACUUUUUUUUUUCUUUUCUGAGAUGGGGUUUUGCUCUUGUUGCCCAGACUGGAGUGCAAUGGUACAAUCUCGGCUCACCACAACCUCCGCCUCCCGGGUUCAAGCGAUUCUCCUGCCUCAGCCUCUCGAGUGGCUGGGAUUACAGGCAUGAGCCAACAUGCCCAGCUGAUUUUUGAAUUUUUGGUAGAGACGGGGUUUCACCAUGUUGGACAGGAUGGUCUCGGCCUCUUGACCUUGUGAUCCACCCGUCUUGGCCUUCCAAAGUGCUGGGAUUACAGGUGUGAGCCAUCACGCCUGGCCUGAAAGUCUUGAAAAAAAUAAAUUAAAAUUUUCAUUUGAGUUUUUUGGAACAUACAGAUACAGUUGACCCUUGAACAACAUGGGUUUGAACUUCACAGAUCCACUUAUAUGUGAUUUUCUUCCAUCUCUGCCACCCCUAAGACAGCAAGACCGACCCCUUUUCUUCCUCCUCCUCCUCCUCCUCAGCCUACUCAGCAUGAAGAUGACAAGGAUGAAGACUUACGAUGAUCCACUUUUGCUUGAUGAAUAUUAAAUAUAUUUUCUCCUCUUCAUGAUCUUCUUAAUAACAUUUUUUCCUAGCUAGCUUAUUCUAUUGCAAGAAUACAGUAUUAAUACAUGUAACAUAUAAAAUUUGUGUUAACUGACUUUAUGUUAUCAGUAAAACUUCCAUUCAACAGCAGACUACCAUUAGUUAACUUCUGGGGAAGUCAAAAGCUAUACAUGGGUUUUUGACUGCAGGGGGGUCAGCACUCCUAGACCCAGUGUUGUUCAAGGGUCAACUGUAGCAUAUGAAUUUAGAGCCUCUCUGUGAGAGCUGCCUUGUGGCUAGAACUUCUCAAUGGAGACUUUUUCUCCUCUACUUUCUGCCAAGGUCAAGAGAAAUACAUGUCUCUUUCUGCAUGGCGGGUUUAUUUUUUAUUGUCCAUUAUUGAGCAUGAGGAACUUGGUGCUCCAGCUUUGGGUGGGUCUCUACCCACCCACUUCAGAGCACGUCUGAAGUGACUUUACUGAGCUGAGCGUUACCACCAUAGUGAGUGCUAUUGGUAACCUGCCCAGAUCACCUUACUGGCUGGUGCAUCAGCCCCUCCCCUUAGUUUCUGCGAGUGUGCAAAUCAGUGGGAGACCAGGUAUCCCCUUUGAUCUUCUUCAUCUAAAGUGUCUUCCUACUUAUGUGAUUCUGUGUACUAUGGAGCUCUUAGGAAAUAGAAAUGGAAGUUGAAGUUAUUAGAAGUGAAAGGAUCAGCCUACAAAAAUAGCUUCCAACAGAUAAAAUCCAGCAUCUGCUCCAUUUCUCUCCAGUUAGGAAUGCGCAGCCAAACUAGGGUAAUAUCAGCAGGACACCAGUUAUAUUUCUCUGGAUAAAUGGUUAAUUUUCUUCUUUCUUUUUUUUCUUUUCUUUUCAGACGGAGUCUUGCUCUGUCACCCAAGCUGGAGUACAGUGGUACAAUCUCGGCUCACUGCAACCUCCGCCUCCUGGGUUCAAGCGAUUCUCCUGCCUCAGCCUCCCAAGUAGCUGGGAUUACAGAAGCGCACCACCACACCUGGUUAAUUUUUGUAUUUUUAGUAGAGACGAGGUUUCACCAUGUUGGCCAGGCUGGUCUCAAACUUCUGACCUCAAGUGAUCCACCCACCUCGGCCUCCCAAAGUGCUGGGAUUACAGGCAUGAGCCACCACGCCUGGCCAGAGUUGUCUUGAUAGAGGUCUUGUAAUUAUUUGAAUUAGAAAAUUUUCUGUUAAAAUAUGUCCACAAAUUCUUUGGUAACCCUCCCUUCAAGAAGUGAAGCCUAAAUCCCUUCCCUUCCAGUGUGAGCUAGACUUAGUGACUCAGUUCUAUGAGUAAAAGUGGUGGAACUGAUAGUGUGACUUCUGAGACUAGGUCAUAAUAGGCAUUGUGGCUUCCUCCUUGCUCUCCCUCUCAGAUCACUUGCUCUGGGGGAAACCAGCAGCCAUGUUGUGAGGACACCCAAGCAGCUCUAUGGAGAGGCCUACAUGGAGAGUAACCAAGGUCCCCUAUCAAUAGCCAGCAAGGAACAGAAGCCUCCUGCCAACAGUCACGUGUGAGCCAUGUUGAGAGCAGAUCUUUCAGUCCCAGUCAGACCUUCCAAUAAUUGUAGCCCUAGCUGAGAAUUUGACUGAAAUAUCCGGAACCACAUCUGCCUAGUUAAGCCACUCCCAAAUUUAUAACCCACAGAACAGAAACUACAUACAAUAAUACAUAAUUGUUUAUUGUUUUAGGCUGUUAUGUUUUGGGAAUAAUUUGUUAUGCAGCAUUAGAUGACAUAUACAUUCCGUCACAUAAAAUUACACUUCAUCAGAUCAGGAUGGUUGGUUUGUGUUUGUGGUGGGUAUUUAUGUGUAUUAGUAACCAGUGGAGGCCUGACAGUAAUCACUAGGGGACCAAUGGCUCAGGCAGGCAGAGUGUUCCCUGCCUCAGGGCCUGGCAUUCUGAUGCAGAAGGCCAGGUGUUGGUGUGGUGGCCAUCUUUGGGCCUUCUGGUCCUGAUUGGUUGGGUUACAGUGCCAGGAUCCCUGUACUGAGGUUUCAGGUAGGUUAGCUUGGGGGAAGGCAUAUGACACACAGGCAGUUUUGGAUUUGGGGCUUGGACCUGGGUUCCAUGGAAAUCAGGCAUUGCAACAUCUUCGUUAGCCUUGCCAGGAGAGAUUGGUGUGAAAUAAUUUAUCCUGUUUCUCCUGGUCACAUGUCCCUAUUAUUCCAUUGCAGUUUGUAUAUAUAUGUGAAGUUUUGGUGCUGGAUUGAGAAGGGAAGGGAUUUGGGAGGGAAGUUAGAAAUUAUUUUAAUUGUACAGCUUAUGAAAUUGCUGUAAAAAUCUUCGUCUCUCUGCCAGGGCUUUGCCUGACUUUCUGAGUCUGGGGGAUUCUCCUGAGAACCCCUGGGGGCCUGGUUGGGUGGUGGCUGUAACAGUUGAUGAGGUUAAGGUGGCUGACUCUCUUUAGAACACUCAGAGACAUGGGUGAGAGGGUCUCUGGGGCCCUCUGAGGCCUCACUGCUUACCUGGGUCUGGGAGCACAGAGUGGAGGAAAGGAAGGAGCUGUGUGCAAGAUAGCUGGGCUGUUGCAGAGUCCUGGACUGUGACUCCCACCCUACCUAGGCUCUGCCCUUGCCAUCAAGGCCUUCUUAAUGGUCUGGCCCCUGGCUUCUUCCCCCUAAGAAAUAUUCUGCAUAGAACCAUGAUAUGACACUAAGUGAACAUAGAAUCCCCAGAGACAACGCUCUGCAUUGUACCUUUUGCAAAACUCUUCAGAGAAACCAUCUUCAAGGUCUUUUGUACAAUAAUCAUGUUAUCAAAUUCCUUUUAGAAUUUGGUGCAUGAAAAAGAUUUUUCUGCCCUGGGUAAGGCAGGUUUCCUUCCAAGAUAAGAGGCACUGGGCAACUCACUCGCUCCUGUGAUUCACUGUUUUCACUCCCUGUUUUGUGCUCCAUGGUGUAAGCUUCCCUUGGGCUGGGUACUGGGGUAUCACCAGUCUUCCCACCAAUCCCCACUCUCCAUGACUGGUCUUUGGUCCAUUUACCUUUAUUUUCAUUCACUUUCAUUUACUUUGAUUCAUUUAUCUAUUUGUAGAGACAAGGGUCUUGCUCUGUUGCUCAGGCUCAUCUGAAACCCCUGGCCUCCCACUUCAGCCUCUUAAAGUGUUGGGAUUACAGGUGUGAGCCACCACUCCUGGCCAGACUUGUUGUUACAGCGUCUCACUCUGUUGCCCAGACUGGAGUGCAGUGACGUGAUCUUAGCUAACUGCAACCUCUGCCUCCUGGGCUCAAGUGAUCCUUCUGCCUCAGCCUCCCAAGUAGCUGGGAUUACAGGUGCAUACCACCAUGCCUAGCUAAUUUUUUUGUAGGGAUGGGGUUUCGCCACAUUGCCCGGGCUGGUCUUGAACUCCUGGGCUCAAGCGAUCCACCCACCUUGGUCUCCCAAAGUGCUGGGACUACAGGUGUGAGCCACUGUGCCUGGCCUGGACCUUUCAUUUAAACCAGCUCACUUCCUCUGGAUUGAGAAAUGUAGGCCCUUCUCCAUCCCCCUCCUGGUUAGGGAAGCUGGCAGAAACCCGUGUCCUAAACUGUAUCCCAUGGAAAAAGUCUACGAGGGUGGUCAUGGCCCUUCCCCAACUCCGAAAAUCGGGAGGCAAGGUCGACCACUGUGAGCGUGGGGUUCAGAGCUGUCUGAACCAAGAUAUUUGGGAGGGCAGUUAGUGCAGAGAUGGCUCCAGCUUCCCUAAAGGACAGGUGAAGCCACUGUCUUCCUCCUUCGGUAGCUGACAAGGGCCUGAAGGAAUCAAAGUUCAUGCAUUCCAAGAGAGGAGACAGAGCAUGUAUGUGAGAGGAAAGAGGGGAGAGAACCUUGGUUUGGUAUGUGUGAAACUGGGGUACUUGAGGAUCAGCCCUAGGGUCGAGGCUCCCUGGAGUCCUAGCCAUCAGUGGGGAGGUCUCUGAGCACUCUUUCCAGAGGCUGACCUCCACGGAUGAGUCUGAGAUGGGGCGUGGCCAGAAUCUGGUCCGAUUCCAGGGGGCCGAGAUAUAGGAAGGUGUCCAGAGGCAGGCAGUGUGGUCCUGCUGGCAGAAUUGGAGGUCCCAGGGCCCUGCGCCUUCUUGUCCAUGGCCUGGCUUUGGCUGGCAGAGGGAGGAGUGGUCUCUGGAAAACGAACCAAGACAAGAAAGAGGAAGUGGGAGAUUUUGUACAGGUUGGAUUGGAGCUCUCUGGAGUCGCCCUGCGGUGUGUGUAGGUUUUAGUCCUAUUUGGUGAUGUGAGAGCUGUCGGAUUGCACUCAGCUGUCUCGGGGUCACCUUGGCCUGGCUUUUGCAUAAACACAUCUGUUGGAGGAGUAUGGUCUUCUGGCUAGAGAACUUGAUUUUGAACCUGGCCUUAGGCUAGACUCUCUGAUCCCGGGUUUUCUAGAGUACAAAAUUGGGACAAGAAUAACGGCAGCCUCGCAGGGUGACUGCCGGGGUCAAAAGUGAUGACGGAAGGGGAGGGGCUGUGGGAAUUGUUUGGAAUCAGAUCUACUUUCCAAUCCUUCAUUAACUUGUUUCCUUCCCCUCCUCUAACUCCAAGUUAGGGAAAAUGACUGCUCUUUACUAAACCCAGUCCCUCUUGUUCUGGGACACAGAAAUGGGCUCUGGUUCCCUUGUGGAUGAGUGUGGCCUGUGCUGGAGUUCCAGGCUUUGAUGGGACCACAUCCAGGUGUGUCCCCUAAGCUCUUCCCCUUGCACUAGCUUGAUGCAGGCAGAGCCCCAAGAUGGAAGGAGCCAGGGUCCCCAUAUCAGCACUUGAGGCUGUCAGGUGAAAGCACCCAGUUUGGACUUUGUGUUGAGUGAGAAAUGAACUUUUAUGGUGUCUGAGCCACUAGCCAUUUUGGGCCUCUUUGUUGCAGCAGCUAGUAUCAUUUUAUUAUAGCGAAUACUUAAUAAUAAAAAAUGAAUAAAAUUCCAGUUACUAAGAAAUUGGAAUGCUUGUAUAAAAAAAAAGUUCAGGCCAGGUGCAGUGGCUCAUGCCUGUAAUCCCAGCACUUUGGGAGGCCGUUUGAGGCGGAUCACUUGAGGCUGAUCAUUUGAGGUCAGGAGUUUGAGACCAGCCUGGCCAACGUGGUGAAAUCCCAUCUCUACUAAAAAUACAAAAAUUAGCCAGGCAUGGUGGCAGGUGCCUGUAAUAACAGCCACUCAGAAGACUGAGCAGGAGAAUCACUUGAACCUGGGAGGCAGAGGUUGCGGUGAUCAGAGAUCGUGCCACUGCACUCCAGCCUGGGCGACAGAGUGUGACUCCAUCUCAAAAAAAUAAAGUUCAAAUUCCUAAACUGUCAGUCAUUCCUUAUGCAUCUCAUUCACUUCUUACAUCCAAGGCUAAAGUGUCUGCGUGCAGACACUGUUUAAUUUUAAAACAGAGAUGAUCUCUGGAAAAUGGGAUCAUCUCAGAGAUGGUCUCUUUCAACUUGACCUUUCCUCACUCCUAAUUUGAGGUGGUCUAUGAUCACUCCCCUUUGAAGCCCCAGGAUAUUUUCACUUGAUCUUAGCCAAAAGGCCGAGGAGCAAUAGCCCCAAGAUACUUUCCUGGGAACUUUUUAUGUUGACUUUUCUCACUCUAUUAUUCUAGAUAUUCCAGUGCUUCUCUUUUCAGAGAAUAUAAACUAUAGCACACGUUGCUUAAGGAUGCGGAUACAUUCUGAGAAAUGCAUCAUUAGGUGAUUUUGUUGUUGUGUGACCAUCAUAGAAUGUACUUACCCAAACCUAGACGGCAUGGCCUGUUAUACACAUAGGCUAUAUGGUUCAGCCUAUUGCUCCUAGAUUAUAAACCUGCACAACACUUACUGUACUGAAUACUUUAUAAACAGUUGGAACAUAAUGGUAAAUAUUUGUGUAUCUAAACAUAGAAAAGGUAGAGUAUAUGAAAGAUGACAAAUGGUAAACCUGUCUAGGGCACUGACCAUGAGUGGAGCUUGCAGGACUGGAAGUUGCUCUGGGUGAGUCAGUGAGUGGGUGAUGAGUGAAUGUGAAAGCCUAGGACACCACUGUCACUACUGCAGACUUUAUAAACACUGCGCACUUAGGUUACACUCAAUUUACAAAUAUUUUUUCUAGGCCGGACGCGGUGGCUCAGGCCUGUCAUCCCAGCACUUUGGGAGGCCGAGGCGGGCGGAUCACGAGGUCAGGAGUUCAAGAACGGCCUGGCCAACAUGGUGAAACCCUGUCUCUACUAAAAGUACAAAAAAUUAGCCAGGCAUGGUGGUGGGCACCUGUAAUCCCAGCUACUCAGGAGGCUGAGGCAGGAGAAUCACUUGAACCCUGGAGGUGGAGGCUGCAGUGAGCCGAGAUCACACCACUGCAUUCCAGC